rnacentral:misc_RNA from 1 species
GUAGGUGAACCUGCGGAAGGAUCAUUACAGAGUUCAUGCCCUCACGGGUAGAUCUCCCACCCUUGAAUUAUACUACUUGUUGCUUUGGCAGCCCUUACCGGCUGCCAGAGGAUAAACCAAACUCUUUUUAAUAUAUCGUCUGAGUACUAUAAAAUAGUUAAAACUUUCAACAACGGAUCUCUUGGUUCUGGCAUCGAUGAAGAACGCAGCAUCUGACUGACUACGUGGU